UACGGAGGGUGCGAGCGUUGUCCGGAAUCAUUGGGCGUAAAGGGCGCGUAGGCGGCUUGACAAGUCCCGGGUGAAAUCCCUCGGCUCAACCGAGGAACUGCCUUGGAAACUGUCUGGCUUGAGGCCGGGAGAGGGUAGUGGAAUUCCCAGUGUAGCGGUGAAAUGCGUAGAUAUCUGGAGGAACACCGGUGGCGAAGGCGGCAUCCUGGACCGGUAUUGACGCUGAGGCGCGAAAGCCAGGGGAGCAAACGGG
rnacentral:rRNA from 1 species